CGGCCACAUUGGGACUGAGAUACGGCCCAGACUCCUACGGGAGGCAGCAGUGGGGAAUAUUGCACAAUGGGCGCAAGCCUGAUGCAGCGACGCCGCGUGCGGGAUGACGGCCUUCGGGUUGUAAACCGCUUUUGACUGGGAGCAAGCCCUUCGGGGUGAGUGUACCUUUCGAAUAAGCACCGGCUAACUACGUGCCAGCAGCCGCGGUAAUACGUAGGGUGCAAGCGUUAAUCGGAAUUACUGGGCGUAAAGCGUGCGCAGGCGGUUGGGUAAGACAGAUGUGAAAUCCCCGGGCUUAACCUGGGAACUGCAUUUGUGACUGUCCGACUGGAGUACGUCAGAGGGGGGUGGAAUUCCGCGUGUAGCAGUGAAAUGCGUAGAUAUGCGGAAGAACACCGAUGGCGAAGGCAGCCCCCUGGGACGCAACUGACGCUCAUGCACGAAAGCGUGGGGAGCAAACAGGAUUAGAUACCCUGGUAGUCCACGCCCUAAACGAUGUCUGCCGGUUGUUGGGGAUUUCUAUCUUCAGUAACGAAGCUAACGCGUGAAGCAGACCGCCUGGGGAGUACGGUCGCAAGAUUAAAACUCAAAGGAAUUGACGGGGACCCGCACAAGCGGUGGAUGAUGUGGAUUAAUUCGAUGCAACGCGAAAAACCUUACCUAGCCUUGACAUGUCAGGAAUGCUUCGUAAAUGGGGUAGUGCCCGCAAGGGAACCUGAGCACAGGUGCUGCAUGGCUGUCGUCAGCUCGUGUCGUGAGAUGUUGGGUUAAGUCCCGCAACGA
rnacentral:rRNA from 1 species